GCCGGCAGCCGCAGAGCGCGGGCCGGGGCUGCCCGCGGCCUCCUGCGGGCCCGGGGCCGGCGGGGAGGGCCCGGCUCCAAGGGGCCUUUUCCAGCUGCCGAUUCCAGACAUUCCUCGGAUGCUUCUCCUCCUUUGUCUGAGGCCGCCCUGGAAUCUCGCUGUGCAGAGCGGUUUCCCUGGGCGGAAUGUGUGUGGCGCGGCCCAGGAAUCCGUCGCGCGGGGGUGCGGGUGGAACGGGCGCAGCAGGUUCGUGUUUUGCUGGGGAGUGACUCAUGCAGCCUUUGAUUCUAGAGUGGUGGUUUUCUCACUUUCUUCAGAUUACCUAUAGAUUUCCUGAAUAAAAAGAUUUUCCUACCCUUGAACCAGGAUGAAAAUUUUAUAACCCAGCAACCAGAGAAGAUCCGUUAGCACAGCUAAUAGAUACCUGCAUCGAGUGUCUCACCUAUCAUCGAGGAAGUCGCUUGGGUGCUCAGAACAAAGGCUGGUUUCAUCUCAUCUGCGGCAGGAGCUAGUAAAGCAUGCUUCAGAGAAACAGCCCUGUGCUGUGGGUUCACUCAGGGGAAAGGUCCAUAGAAAUGGCCUGUAAGGAGACCAGGACACUUUGAAAUAUGCAACUAGACAGUGUUUUUCUUCCUCAAUGUAAUCUUACCACACCGAUUUUUUUUUCUUUCCUUCUUUGGCUUUUUACCGGUUCCUUUAUUGACAAAAAUAAAUGUGUUUCUCCUGUG